AACGAACGCUGGCGGCAGGCCUAACACAUGCAAGUCGAGCGCCCUUUCGGGGGAGCGGCGGACGGGUGAGUAACGCGUGGGAAUAUGCCCUUCUCUACGGAAUAGCCUCGGGAAACUGAGAGUAAUACCGUAUACGCCCUUUGGGGGAAAGAUUUAUCGGGGAAGGAUUAGCCCGCGUUGGAUUAGGUAGUUGGUGUGGUAAUGGCCUACCAAGCCGACGAUCCAUAGCUGGUUUGAGAGGAUGAUCAGCCACACUGGGACUGAGACACGGCCCAGACUCCUACGGGAGGCAGCAGUGGGGAAUCUUAGACAAUGGGGGCAACCCUGAUCUAGCCAUGCCGCGUGAGUGAUGAAGGCCUUAGGGUUGUAAAGCUCUUUCAGCUGGGAAGAUAAUGACGGUACCAGCAGAAGAAGCCCCGGCUAACUCCGUG
rnacentral:rRNA from 1 species